AUUAUUGAUUUUGUCAGUAAUUUCCACGAAUCUCCUCAUGAUGAGGUAAGCGGCGGUGUUUUUAUUUUUCAUGUUUUUGCAUAUUUUGGAUAAAAUGCAUAUUAUUGUAUAUAUUGAAUAAAACGAAUAUUAUUGCAUAUUUCGAUUAUAAGAAUGCAAAAAUGCAUGUUUCACAGUAUAUUUUGUAAUAUUUAUAAUUUAAUAUUAAUAUUUUGUAUUUAAUUCUAGCCCUGCUGAUUAAAGUAUAAAACUUGAUUUUUUGUCAAAUAUAAAUUUUAUUUUAAUAAAUACAAUUCUAUAGUACAAUAGGUAUGUGAUAAAAGAUUGAAUAGUUUGACGGAGAAAGUCCACAGAUUAUAAAAAUGCUAGGAAUCGACUUCUUGAGUGCAACUGAAGAGUCGCAGAUAAAGUUAAAAACAAAAUAUCUCUGGUUUUACAAAAAAAUAAAGGAUUUAAAACUACAAUCAAUAAAUAAAAUAUUAAAUGGCGAAUCAGACGUGUACAAUUUCAAUUGUAAUUUAACACCAGGACAAAUUUUUUUAUUUAAAUAUGCGCUAACUAUAUCAUGUGACGUUGAACGAAGCUUCAGUCAAUUUAAAUCAAUAAUACGAUCCAAUCGCCGAUCAUUUAUAUUCGAAAAUUUAAAAAAAUUUGUUGUCGUAGCAUGUAACACACGUAUUUCCGCAAUUGAAUGUGAAUUAUAAAUUUUAUUUCUCAAUAAUAUUAUAUUGAGACAAACAGCCAAUCACUAAUGUAUUUCAAUAAAUACAUAUUUUUUUGGUAACUAUA